CUCAGGGAUGCCUGUAAAAGUGCCAGAGGAAAAUGUGCUUCAGGUGGACGGGGAGAGCGGCGGUGAAGCCACGGAACACGGAGGCAGGCCGGGAACACCCGCAGGUCUGCGGUUUCUAUGAGCCGGAGCUGACUAAGACACGGGAGAAGGGAUGAGAGGAGGCGGUGAACUCGUCUUGCACGUGUGAAAGGCCUCUGGCUGCACAUGUGGUGCCAUCUCAGCGCGUCCUCCCCACACCUGGAGGUGACAGCACACAGGUUUUUGUGACAAGUGGAACAGGAGAGGGAAGAUGAUAACUCCGGGGAGGUCAAGCACCCACACGAGCGCUCACAGCAGGGAGAUACUAUCCCAGAUCAAGCUGAUGAGAGCUGCCACCAGAAAUGACUGCGAGCAAGCCCCAGAAACCCCAUGGGCGCUGAGUCUCAUCACCGAAGGAAAUGUUCUGCUGCAUUUUAUUUCCUCUUUGAAAUAUUUCUGUUCCAACAUCCUGAAGGGAAGAAAGACAGAAAAUAGUUCCCAGCUAAAUGCCGCAUCUUCAGAAACGUGA
rnacentral:lncRNA from 1 species